CGGAACGUAGGCUAGCGGCGAUGCCACCUGGUUUGGGUCUAGGAUUUCACCGUGGGUUCGAGUCCCACCGUUCCGA
rnacentral:tRNA from 1 species